rnacentral:rRNA from 1 species
AUACGGAGGGUGCAAGCGUUAAUCGGAAUUACUGGGCGUAAAGCGCACGCAGGCGGUCUGUCAAGUCGGAUGUGAAAUCCCCCGGGCUCAACCUGGGAACUGCAUUCGAAACUGGCAGGCUAGAGUCUUGUAGAGGGGGGUAGAAUUCCAGGUGUAGCGGUGAAAUGCGUAGAGAUCUGGAGGAAUACCGGUGGCGAAGGCGGCCCCCCUGGACAAAGACUGACGCUCAGGUGCGAAAGCGUGGGGAGC